AGAUUGAACGCUGGCGGCAGGCCUAACACAUGCAAGUCGAGCGGCAGCACGGGUACUUGUACCUGGUGGCGAGCGGCGGACGGGUGAGUAAUGCCUAGGAAUCUGCCUGGUAGUGGGGGAUAACGCUCGGAAACGGACGCUAAUACCGCAUACGUCCUACGGGAGAAAGCAGGGGACCUUCGGGCCUUGCGCUAUCAGAUGAGCCUAGGUCGAUUAGCUAGUUGGUGA
rnacentral:rRNA from 1 species